rnacentral:rRNA from 1 species
AGUGAACUUAAGCCCCAGUAAACGGCGGCCGUAACUAUAACGGUCCUAAGGUAGCGAAAUUCCUUGUCGGGUAAGUUCCGACCCGCACGAAAGGCGUAACGAUUUGGGCACUGUCUCAACAACAGACCCGGUGAAAUUGUAAUUCCGGUGAAGAUGCCGGAUACCUGCGACAGGACGGAAAGACCCCAUGGAGCUUUACUGUAGCUUGACAUUGGGUCUUGGUACUACAUGUACAGGAUAGGUGGGAGGCUUUGAAACCAGGACGCCAGUUUUGGCGGAGCCAUCCUUGGGAUACCACCCUUGUAGUACUGGGACUCUAACCAUAGGCCAUGAAUCUGGUCUUGGGACACUGUCAGGUGGGCAGUUUGACUGGGGCGGUCGCCUCCCAAAAGGUAACGGAGGCGCUCAAAGGUUCUCUCAGUACGGUCGGAAAUCGUACGUAGAGUGUAAAGGC